AAAAAUAGCAUGUAUGUUCUCCUUCCUCCAUCCUUUCCUUCCUUCCUCCCUCUCUCCCUCCUUCCCUCCCUUCUUCCUUCCUUCCCUGUUUCCUUGUUUCCCUUCCUUCUCUUCCUCCCUUCCCCUCCCCUCCCCCUCCCUCUCCCCUCCCCUCCCCCUCCCUCUCCCCUCCCCUCCCUCCCUCCCUCCCUUCCUUCUUCCUUCCUUCCUUUUUUUCUCUUCCCUUGCUUCUUCUUUCCUCCUUCCUUCCCUCCUUCUCUUCCUACCUUCCGCUUCCCUUCUCUCCUCUUUUCUUCCUUCUUCCCACACAUUUGUAAUUCUCUAUCAUUUGCCUGCCACUCUGUUUGUUGUUGCUGUAAUUAGUAGUGCUCACAAGUGACUCUUAAUAAAGUUACAAUAAUAAAGCAUGGUUACCUAAUGCAAUGUUUAACCUAAAAUUUGAAAGUGUUUCUUCUUACAGUUUAAGUUGGUUUUGUAAGGACUUUGCUCCGGUGAACCCUGUUCUUUCCCUCCCUCCUGCUAAAUGACUGCUCUGACCCCGUAUUCUGCUGCGAUUAGUUCUGUGAAUCAUCUUCGCCUCAGCAUUUCCCCAGUCCUGACACAUGGACAGAAAGACAUCCCUUGGCAAACAUUCAAUCUAGUACAACAAACAAAUGAAUCAAGUCUCAGCCUUUGUCAUUUUACUUGGAUUUUGUUUUUUUACAUUUUUGCUAAUACAGUUUUACAUCUAAAGUCCCAGUUAAGCAGCUCUUCAUUUGGUCCUGCAAACAGAGUGUCUCGUCGAAUAGUAUAUAGGAGGUUCCUUUACAUUAGGAACUUUCUCAUAAAAACAGAUUAUUUACCAAGAGAGAAAUUUCAAAGGCAAGUAUACACACAUUUCUAACAAAACACUCUCGGCAAAAGCACUGUCAGAUGGCAACCAUAUAUGACAAAAUGAGGGAAAGUUGAAUGAACAUGUCAGAGGUUUUCUUCAGUCCUAUCAUGAGUUCUUUUGGUGGCCAUAAGGUCAACAAAGCACUCCUCCCUGCCUUUUCCAGGGAGGAGCUGAAGUGGCAGCCAGCAUCACUUGGGCACACUCAGUCAAUGAGGCAGCUGAAUAAGAUGCCCCCGAGUUGCCAUAGAAACUGGAAGAAGCAGAGAAGCACCUUCUCCUGCACACUCUUUAAUUUCAUCUGAGUGACUUUGUUUAAGAACCAAAAAUAAAAAGUGCACAAGGAUGUAAUUAUAUAAAAAGCUGUGUUCGAUUAUAAAUACAGUAUGUACUUUUGCCUCAGUCUACAGCUCACCUCUCCCUUCCAUUUCGAGGCAUUUGAACCAUUCAAGGAGGAGUCUUCACUUCAGCUUUAAUUGAAAUGAGGCCCAGAUUUACCAAGACAGGGGAGCGAGACUUUCUGCAUUUCUAUCUUUCCCUGGUUCACAUUUGACGUCUGCAUGUGGAGUCUUUUAUAACAAAGUCUAUUUCCAGGGGAUCUUCAUAUCGGGCCAUCUGGGUUCACCAGGGCUUACUGAAAUUGCUCUGCCUUUUGGCAUUUGUAGUCUAAAACAUCGUAUAGGUUUAUGAUCAUUUUGCAGGAUAAUAAAAAGAGGUGGACAGGAGAAUGCCAAAAAAGCAAUUAGUGGAGAAGGGCAACAAAAUCCUUUUUUAAAGAAAUCCUGUUGCUACUUGCAAUAAACAGCUAGUUUCACAAUAGAGCAGGAUGGGAGGAGAGUACCUCAACAGUGGUCCCAUUGCAGUGUUCACCUGGGGGAAAUUGUUCAGAAUUUAGAGGGUCUACCUCUGGUCUUUACACCUUCCUGAAGGGCUGAUGGGUUAAAUUUGCUGGAAGAAAAUGACACAUCUUCUUUCUAGUAUCCUUUAGUGAAACAGGGCAAUCCUGAACCUGCAUGAAUCCUGGCAUGAUUUGAAAUGUACUUGCUCUUAGGUUCCUACUUCCUGCUAGUGAUUUGCAUGAAGUUGAGUGCAAUAUAGAAUUUACUUAAAAAGGAAAAUGCAAAGGUACAAGGUGUGUCCAAUGAGCAAAAAUGCAAUCCUAUGUGUUCUUCGUGAAUAUGCCUUGUCUGUUCUCUUGAUUUGGAGGACUACACAUGAGAACCCGAGACUGAGACUUUCUGCAAGGCAAAUAAGUCUUUUGUAUAAGUAAAAUAUGAAAGGAUUUUUCCCUUUUUGGAAAGCUGGCAGCCUGCAGGUAAAAAAUGUGGCUGGUUCAGCUAGUGCUGUUUGUAAAACUAGACUGGCCAUGUUUCUUAAAUGCCUACUGAAACCAGUUACAUGCUUGCAAGCAAAAAAAGAAAGAAAAAUAAUGGAACUGAAGAACGUCCUUGGCUGUUUAAGGUUGGAAAAUUUUACUUAAAUGAAUCUAGAAUUUCCAGAUCUUUUUACCUAGAGGUACAUAACAACCACAAAAGGAGUUUCCUCAAAUAUAGCUUUAAAUGUCAGCCGUGUCCUCUUCCUGGCUUUGAGUUCAGAUGUAUUGUUUCUGGUGUUUUGUUUUGUUUUAUUGUUGAUUGUUUUUGGUUUUUGCCUCACAUCAACCCACGAUGAAAACUCAACUCCUCUUAGAGUUUUUCCAAAAUAACAUGAAAAUGCAUUAUUAAGAAAUGUUGGUUUUAUAGAAAAUUUUAUAUGGAAGACAGAAGAGGGGUUCUCUGCACACCCUCCACGUGAAACAUCAAACUUAUCUUGCAAGUUGGAUUUCUACAGGGAUUUCGUUCUCUUAUCUCUCACCACCAAGAGUGAGAUUUACUCUUUUUACCUUUUGAAAUCCAAUAAGGUGCUGGGCAAAACAAGGGACCCUGUGGUUAGCAAGGCCCUUGUUGUUAGAAAUGGUCAGCUUUAAAAUGCCACAGAUUAAAGAAAAAUUAUACAAUAACUGUGCCACUAAGAUGCAUAAAGUAAUAAAGUUUAAAUAACACAGUCCAGCAUUUGCCUCCAGUCUCAAAAGCUCAAAAGUCUGAUUCCAUCAGCACAUCUGGCCCUAGGAGCCAGAUGUAUGGACUUAAAAUAUUUAUUUACAAUGAGAAGUAUGAAUGCUAAAGGAACCACACACUUGAAGACUACAGUCAGUGUAUGUUCACUGUCUGUGAAUUUUUCAUGGUGGUUGGGAAUAGAGCAAGGAGAAGUCACGUGAAUUAAUCGUAGGAUUGUAGGAUGUUAGCAAACAAAGACAGCAUCUUUCAUCUAACUCAACUGGGAAUCAGACUAAAGAACUGGUCAUGUUGAAUCAUCAGAUGGAACUCUCUUGCCCUGAACAAUGCUUGGAUCAGCACUAUUCAUUUUAGCUUGUGGGAUUCUUCUUUCAGAUACUUCCAAGGCCGACUAGUAUCAUCAUUCUCUGUUCCCUUUUAAUUAAAACAUUCUUUACUUACAUAAGUGAAUAUACACAGUCCAUUUGAAGUUACAUUUCAGAGGUCUGGAAAUCUUUCUCUUGUUUCAUCUGUGAUUUUUUUAUAUAAUUAUCUCUUUAUGGUAUAUUUUACAUGCAAUAAAAUGCACUUAUUUAAGUGUACAUUUCUAUGCUUUGGAUAAAUGUAUAUAUUCUUGUAACUAUUACCACAGUCAUUACCAUCAUCUUCCAAAUUUAUUUUGUACCCUAAUUCAGAGAAUCCUCCCCUAUCAGUCCCACCCUUGGCCCCAGGAAACCACUGACAAAGUAAGUUUACCUUUUCCAGAGAUUUCAUCCUAUCUUUUUUUCUUUUUUUUUGAUUCCUUGAUCUUUAUUUUCUUAAUUGUUAAAUCGAUACAUUGUCAUUGUACAUAAGUAUGGAGUACAAUUUGGUGUUUCAAUAAAUAUCUACGUUGUAUAAUGAUCGAAACAGGGUAAUUAGCUUAUACAUCACCUCAUGUAUUUAAUAUUUCUUUGUGAUGAGAACAUUUAAAAGCCUAGCCCUAAAACUGUCCUCAUAAAAUUAAUAAAACUAAAUUGUCAGUUUUCUUACCAAAAGCAUAAGCUUUGAGUAGAAGCAGGGCUAAGCAUUAAUCAGGUUUCCCUAGAGCCUACUUCUUUCUCGCUUCCUACUACUUAAAAUUCACGUAGCCGCAUCACAAGCUCCUGGCUUCUACAGACAACGUCUUUAAUGUUAAGAAACCUCAGAUUCUCCAUUAAGAGAUGUUUUCCAGAUCUUGCAUUCUAAGGAUCCACUGACACCAGACAGUCUGAAGAACUCUCCGAGGAACUAAGUGCAACAAGGCAGUUUCUACAUAUUUAUGAUUUUAUCUCCCAUGCCCUAAUCAGUGACCUCCUGCUUCUCAGCCCCAUACGUGCCAAACUUUUCUUAAAAAACACAGUCCAAAUCUCCUCAAGGAGGCAGAGUUGAGGUUCUCUCCUAUCUCCUCAUUUGGAUGCCCCUGUGAUUAUUAAAUUCUUUCUCUGCGGCAACUCCCGCUGUUUCGACGUAUUGAAUUGUUACUGCUCGAUGAGCCCUUGAACAUGGCAGCCCUAUAACACCUUCUAGCUAUGUUGCAAUAUACAAUACUUUACUCUUAACCAUAGCCAUCCUACUGGGCAUUGGACACCAGAACUUAUUUCUCCUAUCUAAUUGUAACUUUGUACCCACCGAUCAAUCUCUCCCUAUCCUCCCCUACCCCUACUAACCCCUCCCUAGUCUCUGGUAAACACUCUUCUACUUGCUGCUUCUAUGAUGUUACUUUUAUUUUAGAUUCCACAUAUGUGAAAUCAUGCAGUAUUUGU
rnacentral:lncRNA from 1 species